GCCGGGGUGGUGGAAUUGGCUAUACGCGCUAGCUUCAGGAGCUAGUGAGGGAAACCUCAUGGGGGUUCGACUCCCCCCCUCGGCACCA
rnacentral:tRNA from 1 species